GACAGAGGGGGCAAGCGUUGCUCGGAAUUACUGGGCGUAAAGGGCGCGUAGGCGGGAUUGCAAGUCGGUCGUGAAAUCCCUCGGCUCAACCGAGGAACGUCGAUCGAUACUGCUGUUCUUGAGGAUUGCAGAGGAGACUGGAAUUCCCGGUGUAGCGGUGAAGUGUGUAGAGAUCGGGAGGAACACCGGUGGCGAAGGCGGGUCUCUGGGCCAUAACUGACGCUGAGAAGCGAAAGCAUGGGGAGCGAACAGG
rnacentral:rRNA from 1 species